UACGGGGGGGGGCAAGCGUUGUUCGGAAUUACUGGGCGUAAAGCGCGCGUAGGCGGCCUCGUAAGUCCGUUGUGAAAGUCAAAGGCUCAACCUUUGAAAGCCGAUGGAUACUGUGAGGCUAGAGUCCGGAAGAGGCGAGUGGAAUUCCUGGUGUAGCGGUAGAAUGCGCAGAGUAUCAGGAGGAACACCGAUAGCGAAGGCAGCUCGCUGGGACGG
rnacentral:rRNA from 1 species